AAUCAACGCUGGCGGCGUGCCUAACACAUGCAAGUCGAACGCGAAAGCCCCUUCGGGGUGGAGUAGAGUGGCGUCCGGGUGAGUAACGCGUGGGUAAUCUGCCCUUGGGUGGGGGAAGUAACCAGUCGAAAGAUUGGCUAAUACCGCAUAAUGCAGCGGCUCGACAUCGAGACAGUUGUUAAAGCAGCAAUGCGCCUGAGGAGGAGCCUGCGUCUGAUCAGC
rnacentral:rRNA from 1 species